GGAGGGAUGGCAGAGCGGCUUAUUGCGGCGGUCUUGAAAACCGUUGUCCCCCUCAGGGACCGUGGGUUCAAAUCCUACUCCCUCCG
rnacentral:tRNA from 1 species